rnacentral:rRNA from 1 species
CAUGCCGUAAACGUUGGGCACUAGGUGUGGGGGACAUUCCACGUUUUCCGCGCCGUAGCUAACGCAUUAAGUGCCCCGCCUGGGGAGUACGGUCGCAAGGCUAAAACUCAAAGGAAUUGACGGGGGCCCGCACAAGCGGCGGAGCAUGCGGAUUAAUUCGAUGCAACGCGAAGAACCUUACCAAGGCUUGACAUACACCGGACACGCUUGGAAACAGGUGCUCCCUUUGGGGCUGGUGUACAGGUGG